rnacentral:rRNA from 1 species
UACGAAGGGUGCAAGCGUUAAUCGGAAUUACUGGGCGUAAAGCGCGCGUAGGUGGUUUGUUAAGUUGGAGGUGAAAUCCCCGGGCUCAACCUGGGAACUGCCUCCAAAACUGACUGACUUGAGUACGGUAGAGGGUGGUGGAAUUUCCUGUGUAGCGGUGAAAUGCGUAGAUAUAGGAAGGAACACCAGUGGCGAAGGCGACCACCUGGACUGAUACUGACACUGAGGUGCGAAAGCGUGGGGAGCAAACAGG